UACGAAGGGGGCUAGCGUUGUUCGGAAUUACUGGGCGUAAAGGGCGCGUAGGCGGUGUGUCAAGUCAGGCGUGAAAGCCCCGGGCUCAACCUGGGAACAGCGCUUGAGACUGGCACGCUCGAGUUCGGGAGAGGAUGGUGGAAUUCCCAGUGUAGAGGUGAAAUUCGUAGAUAUUGGGAAGAACACCGAUGGGCGAAGGCAGCCAUCUGGACCGACACUGACGCUGAGGCGGCGAAAGCGUGGGGA
rnacentral:rRNA from 1 species